rnacentral:rRNA from 1 species
GAUGAACGCUAGCUACAGGCUUAACACAUGCAAGUCGAGGGGCAGCACAGUGUAGCAAUACGACGGGUGGCGACCGGCGCACGGGUGCGUAACGCGUAUCCAACCUUCCCGUUACUCCGGGAUAGCCUUCCGAAAGGGAGAUUAAUACCGGAUGGUGUUUGAAGUCCGCAUGAAAUUCAAACUAAAGAUUUAUCGGUAACGGAUGGGGAUGCGUACCAUUAGAUAGUAGGCGGGGUAACGGCCCACCAUGGCGACGAUGUCUAGGGGGUUCUGAGAGGAAGGUCCCCCACACUGGAACUGAGACACGGUCCAGACUCCUACGGGAGGCAGCAGUGAGGAAUAUUGGUCAAUGGCCGGAAGGCUGAACCAGCCAAGUAGCGUGAAGGAAGACUGCCCUAUGGGUUGUAAACUUCUUUUGUUCGGGAAUAAAGUGCAGUAUGUAUACUGUUUUGUAUGUACCGUUCGAAUAAGCAUCGGCUAAUUCCGUG